rnacentral:rRNA from 1 species
AUUGAACGCUGGCGGCAUGCCUAACACAUGCAAGUCGAACGAGUGGCGGACGGGUGAGUAAUGUCUGGGAACCUGCCUGAUGGAGGGGGAUAACUACUGGAACCGGUAGCUAAUACCGCAUACCAUCCGAUUUGCCCAUAUGGGAUUAGCUAGUGGGUGGGGUAAAGGCUCACCUAGGCGACGAUCCCUAGCUGGUCUGAGAGGAUGACCAGCAACACUGGAACUGAGACACGGUCCAGACUCCUACGGGAGGCAGCAGUGGGGAAUAUUGCACAAUGGGCGCAAGCCUGAUGGAGCCAUGCCGCGUGUAUGAAGAAGGCCUUCGGGUUGUAAAGUACUUUCAGCAGGGAAGCGGUACCCAAAGAAGAAGCACCGGCUAACUACGUGCCAGCAGCCGCGGUAAUAC